AGUCCUAGUCCCAGAAGCUCAGGAGCAGAGGGACAGCCACCUGCCAGGGGAGUGCCGAAUUGGACACACAGAGACCGGAAGGGCCUGGGGGAUGGACGUGGCACAAGGGAAGCCCGGGGAGAACCGCCCGCCGCAGAGGAAAGCGGGCCGGCAGGCGAGGGAGCCCGCGUCGGCUGACAGCCCACAGGCCCCCACAGGGACACCUGGUCGCCAUCACGUGGACACGCUAUUUUUGCACUCGAGGCUAUUCCAGGAAGUCCAUCCAGACAGAGCACGCCUUCCCCAGCCUCCUCUUCUCGGCCUGCAGCCCUGCUCUCCCCACGUCUGGUGGUCUGUAAAGAGGGCUUGUUCUGCGUGGGUGGGACCUGCUCUAGAUCCGUCUUGGAAAAUGAGCUCAUGCCGUUGGCGUAGGCACCAUUCCUGCCCCCAUGCCACUCUGCCCCGGGGCCUGCUGGCUGACGUCCACGAGCCUGUCUGUGCCCUCGCUGCGGCCGACUCUCUCUAGGAGCGUCCUCACAGGAUGCAGAACCUCCCUUUGAGCUUGGUGUUCCCUGCUCCUCA
rnacentral:sRNA from 1 species